GAUGAACGCUAGCUGCAUGCCUAAUACAUGCAAGUCGAGGGAACAGACGAGGAGAUUUCGCCCCUUACGUUAGCGACGGACGGGCGGGUGACUCAUGCGUAACCAACCUAUCUGACUCGGAUAACUUCGGGGAACCGGAUCUAAUACAUGCUAUAAUCUUGCACCGCAUGGCAUAUUAGUGCAAGACGGUUUUUCUGCGACGUGUAGAGGGAUCCCGGCCGCAUUGGCUAGUUGGUAAGGUAACGGCUUACCAAGGCAACGAUGCGUAGCCGACCUGAGAGGGUGAGCGGCCACACUGGAACUGAGACACGGUCCAGACUAAUACGGGAGGGAGCGGUAGGGAAUCUUCUGCAAUGGGCGAAAGCCUGACGGAGCAACGCCGAGUGAGUGAUGAAGGUCUUCGGAUAGUAAAACUAUGUUAUUAGGGAGGAACAAAUGUGUAAGUAACUAUGCACGUCUUGACGGUACCGAAUCAGAAAGCCACGGCUAACUACGUG
rnacentral:rRNA from 1 species